rnacentral:pre_miRNA from 1 species
AUAUUGAAUCCGGUGAAGGCAGCAAAGCGGCUGUGACUUAUGUCUUCCAUAUCAUAUCACAGCCAGCUUUGUUGACUUUACUGAUUUGAAUU